UACGUAGGGACCAAGCGUUGUCCGGAAUCAUUGGGCGUAAAGCGCGCGUAGGUGGCUUCGUAAGUCCGUUGUGAAAGUCAAAGGCUCAACCUUUGAAAGCCGAUGGAUACUGCGGAGCUAGAGUACGGAAGAGGCGAGUGGAAUUCCUGGUGUAGCGGUGGAAUGCGCAGAUAUCAGGAGGAACACCAAUAGCGAAGGCAGCUCGCUGGGACGUUACUGACACUGAGGCACGAAAGCUAGGGGAGCAAACAGG
rnacentral:rRNA from 1 species